UACAGGGGGGGCAAGCGUUGUUCGGAAUUACUGGGCGUAAAGGGUCUGUAGGUGGCCAACUAAGUCAGACGUGAAAUCCCUCAGCUUAACUGGGGAACUGCGUCUGAUACUGGAUGGCUUGAGUGUGGGAGAGGAAUGCGGAAUUCCAGGUGUAGCGGUGAAAUGCGUAGAUAUCUGGAGGAACACCGGUGGCGAAGGCGGGUCUCUGGGCCGUAACUGACGCUGAGGAGCGAAAGCGUGGGGAGCGAACAGG
rnacentral:rRNA from 1 species